rnacentral:rRNA from 1 species
GUGUCAGCCGCCGCGGUAACACGUAGGGGCCGAGCGUUGUCCGGAGUUACUGGGCGUAAAGCGCGCGCAGGCGGUUUCGCGCAUCCGUGGUGAAAGCCCCGCGCUCAACGCGGGAGAGUCCAAGGAGAUGGCGAGACUGGAGGCAGGGCGAGGCCGGUGGAAUUCCGGGUGUAGUGGUGAAAUGCGUAGAGAUCCGGAGGAACACCAGUGGCGUAGGCGGCCGGCUGGACCUGUCCUGACGCUGAGGCGCGAAGGCGUGGGGAGCGAACGGGAUUAGAUACCCGCGUAGUCC